rnacentral:rRNA from 1 species
GAUGAACGCUAGCGGCAGGCUUAACACAUGCAAGUCGAACGGAGUUACGUAUGAAGUAUUUCGGUACGGACUAUGUAACUUAGUGGCGAACGGGUGAGUAACACGUGGGCAACCUGCCCUUAACCGGGGGAUAACAUUGUGAAAACAGUGCUAAUACCGCAUAACAGAGUAUCGGGCAUCCGAUAUUUUUAAAAGGAGCAAUCCGGUUUAGGAUGGGCCCGCGUCCAAUUAGCUAGUUGGUGAGGUAACGGCUCACCAAGGCUACGAUUGGUAGCCGAACUGAGAGGUUGAUCGGCCACAUUGGGACUGAGACACGGCCCAGACUCCUACGGGAGGCAGCAGUGGGGAAUAUUGGGCAAUGGGCGAAAGCCUGACCCAGCGACGCCGCGUGAAGGAUGAAGGUCUUCGGAUUGUAAACUUCUUUGAUCAGGGAAGAAAGAAAUGACGGUACCUGAAGAACAAGCCACGGCUAACUACGUG